rnacentral:misc_RNA from 1 species
GAUGAAGAACGUAGCGAAAUGCGAUACUUGGUGUGAAUUGCAGAAUUCAGUGAAUCAUCGAGUCUUUGAACGCACAUUGCGCCCCCUGGUAUUCCGGGGGGCAUGCCUGUCCGAGCGUCAUUGCUGCCCUCAAGCCCGGCUUGUGUGUUGGGUCUCGUCCCCCUUCCCGGGGGGACGGGCCCGAAAGGCAGCGGCGGCACCGCGUCCGGUCCUCGAGCGUAUGGGGCUUUGUCACCCGCUCUGUAGGCCCGGCCGGCGCUUGCCGAUCAACCAAAACUUUUUUCCAGGUUGACCUCGGAUCAGGUAGGGAUACCCGCUGAACUUAAGCAUAUCAAUAAGCGGAGGA